rnacentral:rRNA from 1 species
UAGUCCACGCUGUAAACGAUGAGUGCAAGGUGUUGGGGGUCAAACCUCGGUGCCGCCGUUAACACAGUAAGCACUCCGCCUGGGGAGUACGUACGCAAGUAUGAGACUCAAAGGAAUUGACGGGGACCCGCACAAGUAGCGGAGCAUGUGGUUUAAUUCGAUGCAACGCGAAGAACCUUACCAGGGCUUGACAUAAAAGUGACGAGGGAUAGAGAUAUUCCUUUUCUCUUCGGAGACAGUUUUAC